GACGAACGCUGGCGGCGUGCUUAACACAUGCAAGUCGAACGGAAAGGCCCUGCUUGCAGGGUACUCGAGUGGCGAACGGGUGAGUAACACGUGGGUGAUCUGCCCUGCACUUCGGGAUAAGCCUGGGAAACUGGGUCUAAUACCGGAUAGGAGCCAUUUUUAGUGUGAUGGUUGGAAAGUUUUUUCGGUGUAGGAUGAGCUCGCGGCCUAUCAGCUUGUUGGUGGGGUAAUGGCCUACCAAGGCGGCGACGGGUAGCCGGCCUGAGAGGGUGGACGGCCACAUUGGGACUGAGAUACGGCCCAGACUCCUACGGGAGGCAGCAGUGGGGAAUAUUGCACAAUGGGCGCAAGCCUGAUGCAGCGACGCCGCGUGGGGAUGACGGCCUUCGGGUUGUAAACUCAUUUCGCUAGGGACGAAGCUUUUUGUGACGGUACCUAGAUAAGAAGCACCGGCUAACUACGUG
rnacentral:rRNA from 1 species